rnacentral:rRNA from 1 species
GGUUAAGUUAGAAAGGGCGCAGGUGGAUGCCUUGGCACUAGGAGCCGAUGAAGGACGGGACGAACACCGAUAUGCUUCGGGAGCUGUAAGCAAGCUUUGAUCCGGAGAUUUCCGAAUGGGGAAACCCACUGCUCGUAAUGGAGCAGUAUCCAUAUC